UACGGAGGGUGCAAGCGUUAUCCGGAUUCACUGGGUUUAAAGGGUGCGUAGGAGGACAGGUAAGUCAGUGGUGAAAUCUCCGAGCUUAACUUGGAACUGCCGUUGAUACUAUCUGCCUUGAAUAUUGUGGAGGUGAGCGGAAUAUGUCAUGUAGCGGUGAAAUGCUUAGAUAUGACAUAGAACACCAAUUGCGAAGGCAGCUGGCUACACAAAUAUUGACACUGAGGCACGAAAGCGUGGGGAUCAAACAGG
rnacentral:rRNA from 1 species